CUGUGCACCAUGCCCGACUGGCGUCAAACAUCACAAGUCUACUCCAUGACUAUCCAACGUUUAUGGUAGACUUAACGAGCACUGAGAACGGACAUGCACAGUGAAGGGCAAAUGAAUGCAGAUGCAACAUCACUGGCAUACGUUAGAAGACGGCUGUGACUGGAAUCAAAACCAAAUCGUGGGGGUGGAAAAAUUAAAUAGUCAC